AAGCAACGCAAAUACGGGAAUGUUUGUCCAGACCAGUGCUGUGCAAGUAGUCUGGACAGAUGCCAGUUCCAAUCUGGAAUCCAUGAGACCGAAGGGAAUCAAAGUGUUCAACUUCUGGUGAUGCCAGGAUAGUCGCGUCUUCAAAUGAAGUUCUCUCCCGAUAUUUUGAGGGAAAGUGUUACAGCUGUUCUGGGGACCACAUAACUUAUCUGCAAAGUGGCUAAGCGUACCAGCCCUGUUAAGACAUUUAAGGAAUGCAUUCUGUACAACGUUGGGUUUAGUGUAACUGCAGCUGCACAACAAAAUCAUCUUGAAGGAACUUCUUAUAACUUGCAUUGCAAGACCUUGAAUUCAGUAUGCUGACGGUGUGCCUGGAUAGUGGGACUUUGUGCACCUGGGCUGCUGUUCUGCCCCACAUGUCCAGCUCUGUUCAGGCAUUGUAAGUAAGAAAUCGGCCAAGAACUCUUUCCAACAGUGACCAGGAUGAAGUGUUUGUUGCACAAGG